GACGAACGCUGGCGGCGUGCUUAACACAUGCAAGUCGAACGGUGAAGCGCCUUCCUUUUUGGUGGGUGUGGAUGAGCGGCGAACGGGUGAGUAACACGUGAGUAACCUGCCCCCUUCUUCUGGAUAACCGCAUGAAAGUGUGGCUAAUACGGGAUAUUCUGGGUCUGUCGCAUGAUGGGUCUGGGAAAGAUAUUGUUUCGGUGGGGGAUGGGCUCGCGGCCUAUCAGCUUGUUGGUGGGGUGAUGGCCUACCAAGGCGGUGACGGGUAGCCGGCCUGGGAGGGUGGACGGUCACACUGGGACUGAGACACGGCCCAGACUCCUACGGGAGGCAGCAGUGGGGAAUAUUGCACAAUGGGCGCAAGCCUGAUGCAGCGACGCCGCGUGAGGGAUGGAGGCCUUCGGGUUGUGAACCUCUUUCGCCAGUGAAGCAGGCCUGCCUCGUUUGUGGGUGGGUUGACGGUAGCUGGAUAAGAAGCGCCGGCUAACUACGUG
rnacentral:rRNA from 1 species